rnacentral:rRNA from 1 species
CAGUCGAACGGACUCAUAUUGAAACCUAGUGAUUUAUGAGUUAGUGGCGGACGGGUGAGUAACGCGUGGAUAACCUGCCGUAUACCGGGGGAUAACACUUAGAAAUAGGUGCUAAUACCGCAUAAGCGCACGGCUCCGCAUGGGGCAGUGUGAAAAACUCCGGUGGUAUACGAUGGAUCCGCGUCUGAUUAGCUAGUUGGCGGGGUAACGGCCCACCAAGGCGACGAUCAGUAGCCGGCCUGAGAGGGCGGCCGGCCACAUUGGGACUGAGACACGGCCCAGACUCCUGCGGGAGGCAGCAGUGGGGAAUAUUGCACAAUGGGGGAAACCCUGAUGCAGCGACGCCGCGUGAGCGAUGAAGUAUCUCGGUAUGUAAAGCUCUAUCAGCAGGGAAGAAAGUGACAGUACCUGACUAAGAAGCCCCGGCUAACUACGUGCCAGCAGCCGCGGUAAUACGUAGGGGGCAAGCGUUAUCCGGAUUUACUGGGUGUAAAGGGAGCGUAGACGGCAGCACAAGUCUGGAGUGAAAUCCCGGGGCUUAACCCCGGAACUGCUUUGGAAACUGUGCGGCUGGAGUGCAGGAGGGGUAAGCGGAAUUCCUAGUGUAGCGGUGAGAUGCGUAGAUAUUAGGAGGAACACCGGUGGCGAAGGCGGCUUACUGGACUGUAACUGACGUUGAGGCUCGAAAGCGUGGGGAGCAAACAGGAUUAGAUACCCUGGUAGUCCACGCCGUAAACGAUGAUUACUAGGUGUCGGGGGACCAAGGUUCUCCGGUGCCGGCGCAAACGCAUUAAGUAAUCCACCUGGG